AAGGUGUGAUGGUGAAAAUAUUGAGUGUUGUGUAGAGGGCUGUGAACUUCAGUGCGUACUAUUUGGCACGGUUUGUACAGGACCCGGUGUGCGCCCAUGGGCGGCUUAUGUGCCGAUGUGGGAGGAUAAUGGAACAUUUGUCCCUUGCUUGCAGAGCACAAAGCACUUUCACAUGUCAGCCCUUGGUGGGCCAGCUUGGCCUCACUGGAAAUUUCCCCUGCCAUCAGAGUGCCGGGUGUCCUUAAAAGCUUUUAAUCCAGGGCAUGUUUCCCAAGCCCGGAGUUUGCAGCUGCUGGGGCUGGGGCUGGGGCCAGGGUUGGAGCUGCAGAUGUGAAGCUUGCUGGCUCUUGGAGCUUUAAGUGGGAAUUUUGCAAAGAAAAGCACCAGAGAGAUGCGGAGACAUGUAGGGCAGGGUGAUUGGACUUUGUUCCCCUGAGGCUGACCUGUUGUUGUUAUUAUAUAACAAGCAUACAGAGUUUAUCUUUGAACAAACUUCAUGAAGAUUUGUUUUCUUUAAUCCUUCAUCCGGGAGGGGUAAAGGGAGAUCUGCUUGGACUGGUUUUCAUUUUGAUAGAACAACUGGCUUCGGGUCUGAUGCAGAGAAGAGAGAAGAGAGGAUUGGGAUUUGCCGGAUAGGUUUUCAGACCAGUUGAAGUUGAAACCCUGAUGCUGUGGGCUUAUAAGCCCUGACUAUCUGAGAUCGUCCAAGAUGACUGAAGUGAUGAUGAGCACCCCAUCCAUGGAAGAGAUUGGACUCAGCCCCCGAAAGGAUGGCCUUUCCUACCAGGUGAGUUGAGUCUUGAGAA